UUAGUGGCGGACGGGUGAGUAACGCGUAGGGCAACCUGCCCCGUGCCGGGGGAUACCGCCUGGAAACAGGCGCUAAUACCGCAUAAGCGCAUACAGCCGCAUGGGGUGGUAUGCGGAAAGCUCCGGCGGCACGGGAUGGGCCCGCGCCCGAUUAGCCAGUUGGCGGGGUAACGGCCCACCAAAGCGACGAUCGGUAGCCGGCCUGAGAGGGCGGACGGCCACAUUGGGACUGAGACACGGCCCAA
rnacentral:rRNA from 1 species